GCUAAAAAAGCUAAUAGCGCUGGUCUUGUAAGCCAGAGACUGGAUUUUUAUCCUUUUAGCU
rnacentral:tRNA from 1 species